rnacentral:misc_RNA from 1 species
UCCCCGUUCUCCUGUGCAUGGAUCCCGAAGGAGGCCCCUCGUUUCUGAGGAGUUUCCCAUGCAUGUCAAGCCUAGGUAAGGUUCUUCGCGUUGCGUCGAAUUAAACCACAUGCUCCACCGCUUGUGCGGGCCCCCGUCAAUUCCUUUGAGUUUCAGCCUUGCGGCCGUACUCCCCAGGCGGGGUACUUCCUGCGUUAGCGCCGGCACCCAAGGGGUCGCUCCCCCAGGCACCUAGUACCCAUCGUUUACGGCGUGGACUAC